UACGUAGGUGGCAAGCGUUGUCCGGAAUUAUUGGGCGUAAAGGGAGCGUAGGCGGACUUUUAAGCGAGAUGUGAAAUACCCGGGCUCAACCUGGGAGCUGCAUUUCAAACUGGAAGUCUAGAGUGCAGGAGAGGAGAAUGGAAUUCCUAGUGUAGCGGUGAAAUGCGUAGAGAUUAGGAAGAACACCAGUGGCGAAGGCGAUUCUCUGGACUGUAACUGACGAUGAGGCUCGAAAGAGUGGGGAGCAAACAGG
rnacentral:rRNA from 1 species